GGUUUGAACCGAUGAAUUUCAGAGAAUAAGAGUUACUUAUUUAUAGUCGAAGAUUGACACAAUAGAAUUAAUGGGGAGUGCAUUAUUACAAAUCGUGGGAAGAGUAGAGAGCUAGUCUUGAUGAGUACAUUAAAGUUGUGGUCGGAAAACAAUAACAUAACACCAAGUGGGAUUCCAGGGCGGUCAUAUGAACACGAUAAGCUUGUUGCCGGCGGCUACAUAACGUUAGAUCGGAGUCUCCAAGACGAUACUACUAAAUUCAGGCCCAGAAACGGAAAGCCCAGAAACGGGUUAGAGUUGCACAUAAACAAAACGCACUGUAUAACUAAAUAGAUACACCUUCUCAAUUUUGAAAAUGUGGAUAUAAUUAACUAUAUAAAUUGAAUAUUCUAUGGAAUAAAUUGCCUACAAUAUUUUUAUUUUCUUACAAAUGUUAUAACUAAUGUAUCGAUUUUUAAUAUCAUACUAACUCAUAUUUAUCUAUUUUCUUACUUUUAAUUCAGGGAAAUUAUUUUUUACAUA